ACUCGGGUCUCUCCAGUCCUAGUCCAGCCCUCUAACCACUACACCACACUGGCUCUGUUCCUUGUUGAGGAAUGCUUAACAUCCUUUUAAUUUCAGUGAGACUACUUUGAGUAAGCCAUUAGCCUACCGGCCGUUAACCAUUAAACCGAGGCCUGAGGUUUAAAGGGGAGAAAUCUAUUCGGUCUGUGCUUAGAGGCAAUGUCACUUGUGUACCACUUUUAAAAUGUACUAUUUUUAUAGACAGAAGGAAAAGAGACAGACACUAAUAAGUAUCAUUAAAACAUGCCGCAGCUUUAUUUAAAAAAGGAAGAAGAGCCAGGGCCAGAAGAGCUCAUAGCAGCUCCUCGGGGAUCAACAGCCGCCAGUGAACAGGCCCUGGGAAGGCCAGGGGGAGCAAGGCCUGGAUGUCCUGAAGGAAGGAAGGAGGGAAAGGAGGAGAUUUAAGGGCUCCCCCAGAGGUUUCCCUCCCUUAAAAGAGUAGGGGUUUCAAGAAUUGGGGGGCUUUGGUUCUCUAGGGGGCUCAUGAGGAGGCAGGCUGUGACUCACUAUGUGUGGCAAAAAGGCACCAUUCAGAGGGUGAAGGCCUCCUAUUUCAGUCAGAUUGGCUUAAGGCCUGCCACGGUUUCACAAGACAGCACCGCUGCGAACACCGUCCGGAAGGAAAUUAAAUCAAGCAGGCCUGUGAGUCCAGCUCUUAGUGGUCCACUCUGCCGCCUUCCGCCAUGACCUCACCUUCCAUCGUCACAUUCUGCUUCCAACAUUCUUCUGGCCCCUACGCCACAACCUGCAGGUUGCCAUAGGGACUGCAAUAAACAACUUGGCAUCAUCGUUCUUCAGUUGCCCACUCCCUAACCGACUCUCCAGCAGUUACAGCAUGCAGAUGCUAGUCUGCUUUCACCGGAGAGAAUAUCUGCGCCAGUCGUUGUCUUUGGACCUUUACUGUCAUCCUAGCAGCUGCUUGCAGUUGGAAAAGAGGAAAGAAAAUGGAGUUUGAAGGAAUGCACAUGUUGAAGUUCUGUGCAGGGAAUUGCAGAGAAAAGACUAGAAGGAGACGUGAAAGGAUUUUGGUUGGAAGUUGUUAACAAAGAAACAAAAAUUGAUUGAGAAGCACCAGUAAGUCGUACGUUGUGGAAAGGUAAUAUGGAAUUACAGAUUGUUUCAUAGAUGACUGUGAUAAGUUUGUUCUGUUUAAGCUACUUUCUUAACUGAGUUUAUGGCUAAUAUAUUGAAAAUGUUAUAAAAUUCUUUGUGACUCAUAUGAAGUUUUCUUUGUUUAGUCCUUUGUUCUGUGAAAUACACAAGACGUGUGUGUGUGUGUGUGUGUGUGUGUGUGUGUGUAGGUUUCUGAGUGGGAGUCCAAAGCUUUGGUUCUGUGUAGGAAUUCAACCCCCCAUCCAUCUUAUAACUCAUCUCUGUGAAGAUGAGGUUUCUGUUGUAUUUGUGAAUGUAUUUAUUCUAGUGACAUGUCUCUUUUUCUGUAAACUGUUCCAGACCAAACUUGCUCUGACAUUGAAUUCCAAAAUUAGCAGUUAUUAUAUUAAUUGAACAUAAAAUUGGUCAAGGCCUGAGCAACAGGGGGAACUUACAGUCCCAGCUGGCCAACUGGGGUGCUCAAUCUUCCCACCUCUGCAAAAGUGCUGCUUAUGGCUGGCUAAAUGCAUUAGACAUAAGAGCAAGCUCUAUUUCAUUCAUUCUUAUAUCAAGUUGAUUGUGAUAUUUCUGCCACUACUGAGUGUCAUGAGCCUUUAUAUGUUAUAUUUACUGACAUGGUUUAUCUUACCUAUUUUCUGUGAGCUCAAAACCUUUCUCUAAACCGGAAGUUUCCCUUCCAAAUUCUUUCUCACAAAUGAAAGCUGAUCUCUGAUGAACAAUGACAGCUCCGCCCAUUUCCAGAUGGGAGGGGGAAGGAGGUUCUCUGUAAAGCAGUUUGUGUUCCAGCCAGUUAAUUGUGAGUGAGAAGGAAAAAUGGAUUUUAAGAUAAAUUAGUCUAAUUGUAUUACUGUCAUGUUUUUGUAAAAUCUAUGCAAUAUUUCUGCUAACUGAUUUGAUGUAAACUGAGAGCUAAUAAUCAAAUGGUCUAAGGUUUAAAUUUUAAAUUUGUCUUAUCCAGUAGCCCUGCUUUGCCUUCACAGUAGCUGAAUCUUAAAAUUCCAGAUCCCAGACAUGAGAUUUGAUGAAAGGAAUUUUGUUUUGCUACUCCUGCAAGUGGAAGGGAGUUCCAAAGUACCAAUUUGCAUUUUACCUAGAAGACUUCCCAGUUUGAAAGGAUCAAGCUUUGUGUGUUACUGUGAAACCCAUACCCUGUUUUCACAGCUCCUGAUGAGAGACUUGACUUUAUUACCACAGGUUUCACCCCCCUGCAAGAUUAUGGACAAUUUUUCUGAUAACACCUUUUGCUAAAGAGGUCUGUAAAAAGGGACACUUUGAUUUGCUUCAUGAGACAUUAGGCCUCGUCCAGAAGUCUCAAUCCUAUUUCAACAAGGUAUAGUAUUUUGCCUGGGGGCAUGGACUGUUUCUUUCUUAUAUAGGUUUUUCCCAGAAGAUGUCAAACCCCAAACCCUUACUCAUUGGUCAUUUGCUAAGUUAUGAGGCUAAAGAUGGAGAGCUGGAACACCACAACUAUCUACAUGUGACCUAGAUGAAGAUCCCAAAGCCAGAUGUUACUGACGAAUCACCCCUUUAUGGAGAAGGAAGUCAGUUAUACUGGAUGGAGAUUGAUUGCCCUGACAAAGGCCUGUAAGUAUAAUUGUCAGCCAACGUGGUGCAGUGGUUAGAGUGCUGGAGUAGGACCGGGGAAACCCGAGUCCAAACCCUCAUUCAGCCAUGACACUUGCUGGGUGACACAGAGCCUGCCACUCAAAUGAUUUGGCCUGCCUCACAGGGUUGUUGUAAGGAGGAAGAACAGGAUACAGAAGAGAAUGUGAGAUGCCACAUGGAAACAGGACUUUGUUACACCCAAAGGGCCUUGGUGAAGUUCAAGCGCUGAAGUUUUAUGUUGCAGCCUCACAAGUGAUAAGACUAUGUUUGACCUGAAAGGCUUUAAUGCCUCCUCAACACCCCAAACUCACAAGGGGGGUGAAAAAUGUUAAUGCCUUUUUCUUUUUUACUUUAUUGCUUUGCUUUUGCCCAGGAUUGCCAUUUUGUUCUCGUGAUCAGAAACCAGCCUACAACACAAACCACCAAGCCCUAAAUGAGGACAUCAUCCCCUGUUCUGGUCUUCGGGAGAAGAGGGGCCCAGGGCAAGCAGGGAAACAAAAACAUAAAUUGAGAGAAAAAAAUUGCCAAAAGUCCAAAUUGAAAAUAGCCUCAGGUUUUAUCCAUCCUUUGUAUUAUUUGCCUUGAAAACUUGACUUUUCCUUUUGUGCUGAUGGUUGGCACCCAGAGACUUAGUCUCAGGACGCUGUCCCUACAUGGUGGGGGGGAGGGAAUUGGCAACUCACUUGCCUGUCUUUCUCUCAAGUAAACAGGUUUGCAACCAACAGUGCCUUGAAUUGUCUUUCCAAGAAGGAUUGAUCCUCCCCAGAUCGAAGGAAUACCUAGAUCCGUCGCCAGAACGUGAUCCCAAGGGAGUCUCCAGAGGACAUCAACACUGACCCAGGAAAACUAACCAUCAGCAGCAGCAGCUACCAGAGGGCAGUCCCUAUCUGCAUUUCCAAUCCAACCCAAUGGUGACAGAACGUCCAUCUGCUACCCUAUCCUGUGUUUGAAGAAGAGGGCUUAAUGCAAAGUUCAUCUUCCUGCUCCUAAGUGCUAUAGGAGAGGGAUAGACGACAAAUGCCUGAAGACUGCCUGAUAACAAACAGGCAAGCCAAUUUGUUCACUUUUCUCUGGAGCCAUACAUGCAACAACCAUCCUACCUGGGUAAGAUACCUUGCCAAAGACACUAUUUCAAAUUCUGCCAAAGACACUAUUUCAGAUUGCCCACAAGGGGGGGAGUCAAGGCUCCCAAACACAUGAACAUUCGAGCUUGUCUAUGGACACUAGCCAAACAAGCCAAAACAACACGGAUCAGAGAACAUCCAGGAUAGCCAAAAUCCUGCAAUGUUAUACAAGAGCAUUUGGUUCUCAAUUGAAGGACUACAAUAUUUUUUCUUACCAAGGACUUAGUUUUUGUUUUUAUUCUAAAGCUCUCCAUGGCUUCCUUUUUGGCCAUGACAGACUCUAGAGGACACUAAGGGGGGGUGGGAGUUGAUGAUUUACACCACUUUCUUAUAUUACUUUCUUGUAGUGACUAUGUGCUAUCAUUAUGUUGAAAACCCUGCUAUCUCCUGUGCUGUAAGGACAUGGACCUCACAUGCUUGUUUCACUGACAUAUUGUGCCAAUCAUCUCAUUGUUUCACCCAGAGCAUUUACCUGCAAGUCUACACCUAUCCCCAAGUUAUUGGUCCCUUUUGCACUCUGAAGACAUUAAGCUAGCCCAAGCUUUACCUGCUAAUUUUAUAGACACCUGUAUUUAAUCAAUGUGAUUGUACAUGACUUGUCAUUACUAUCGCUUUCCACAAGCUGAUAAUCCAUUAAUCACCAGAAGCACCUGGUUCCACAAUGUUAUUGAUACUUUAUUUGGGAUAAAGAUGGGUUAAAACAAUGUUGCUUGUUAUAAGUUGUAUGAUCUUUAUAUGUACACCUUGCUGUUCUGUGUAAAACUUUUUAUCUAUAUCAAAUCAUGCCAGAUAUGGGUGCUUAAGGAUAUGUGUGUGAUUUAUAGAAUUAUACUAAUUAUGUUUGUAGCUCUAGGAUGUUGUAUGCAAUGUAUCUAGUUUUAUUGCCAUAUGUACAGCCCACUCAGCACCUACUAUUUCUGUAAAAUCUAUGCUUAAUGUAUGACAAAUGCUUAAGGCAUCUCAAAACCACAUAUGUCCCAAAUCCUUUAGCCACACAAAACACAGAACUAUAUUUCCAAGACUAGGAGUUUAUGUGUUAGAAAGAGCUAUUAUUAAUAUUUCCAAACAGUUAGAACUUUCAUUUAACUAAUAUGGAGAGCCUAUUGAUUUAUGGGCAAAGAAGAUAAUUCUAGUUACAGUAUGUAUUUUUCUUUUAUUGAUAAUCACAUGUUGCUGCUUAUAAUGCAUUCUAGCUUUAAUCCAAAUGUUUAUUAAAACCUUUAGACGCCGCCACAGUAUAGGGCCCAAAUAUACAUCUGUACCCUUACAAGCCUUGAUGAUGAUCCAAUUUUUCAGGCGGGAAUUGAUGUGUUUAGAAAACCAAAGAAACUCCAUGUUUGCCCAGAAUACCUCAUUCUAACUUAAAGUAACCCCAGCCCAGCUCAGGGACAUCACGGCCUCUCAUGAUCAAUGUUGUUAUCUCUCUCCACUAAAUUGUAUCUAAGAAACUUGGUUCUCACAAGAUUCUCACUGUUCUUUGCUGACAGUUAAGAAAACAGGAUGUAACCAAAUAAGGAGUGAUCACCAGAUGAACAAUGAAUCAUUCGCAUGCGUACUAGAUACUUAGUCCACCAUUUUAUUGCCACGUAUACUAUGUCUAGGGUGUCAGCAUCCAUUUUGUUGAUUGUAUAAAAGAAGAACCUCAGCUGUAACCAAUUCAUAUUCAAUGUAGAGCCAUUAGCCGUUGAAUACCUUGCAACUGCAGUGCAAUAAAAGCCUCUAAAGAGAU